rnacentral:rRNA from 1 species
CCUACGGGAGGCAGCAGUCGAGAAUCAUGCACAAUGGGGGAAACCCUGAUGGAGCGACGCCGCGUGGGGGAAUGAAGGUCUUCGGAUUGUAAACCCCUGUCAUGUGGGAGCAAAUUAAAAAGAUAGUACCACAAGAGGAAGAGACGGCUAACACUGGGACAGCAGCCGCGGUAAUACAGAGGUCGCAAGCGUUGUUCGGAAUCACGGGGCGUAAAGGGUGCGUAGGCUGUUUCGUAAGUCGUGUGUGAAAGGCGCGGGCUCAACCCGCGGACGGCACAUGAUACUGCGAGACUAGAGUAAUGGAGGGGGAACCGGAAUUCUCGGUGUAGCAGUGAAAUGCGUAGAUAUCGAGAGGAACACUCGUGGCGAAGGCGGGUUCCUGGACAUUAACUGACGCUGAGGCACGAAGGCCAGGGGAGCGAAAGGGAUUAGAUACCCUUGUAGUC